CCUACGGGCGGCAGCAGUGAGGAAUAUUGGUCAAUGGACGAGAGUCUGAACCAGCCAAGUAGCGUGAAGGAUGACUGCCCUACGGGUUGUAAACUUCUUUUAUAAGGGAAUAAAACGAGGCACGUGUGCCUUUUUGUGUGUACUCCAUGAAUAAGAAUAGGCUAAAUCCGUACCAGCAGCCGCGGUAAUACGGAGGAUCUCAGCGUUAUCCGGAUGUAUUGGGGGUAAAGGGGGCGUAGAUGGGUUUUUAUGUCAGUUGUGAAAGUUUGCGACUCAACCGUAAAAUUGCAAUUGAGAGUGGCAGUCUUGAGUACAGAUGGGGUAAGCGGAAUUCGUGGUGUAGCGGUGAAAUGCUUAGAUAUCACGAAGAACCCCGAUUGCGAAGGCAGCUUACUAAACUGUGACUGACAUUGAUGCUCGAAAGUGUGGGUAUCAAACAGGAUUAGAUACCCUUGUAGUC
rnacentral:rRNA from 1 species